AGAAAUGAGGCUUGAGAUGAGCUCCAGCGUCUCCAUGCCUUCCACAAAUGAAAGGUAGAGUUCUUGCAGAGAGGAUGGGAAAGGGCAGCAGGAAGGAGAGGACAACGUCGUCGAUUGUCAAAGCAUUGCUAGAUUACACACAUAUUCCAUCAAUGUUUGAUACUUUCUUCACAGAUGCAUCGCUUCAUGUUCUCAGUGCUGACAGGAAGAAAGUAGUCCAGGCUAAAUGAUUAAACACCCCAAUGGCGGUAGCCUAGGCAUCUUUCCGCAAUUUUUUCAUCCCAUUUUUGCCCAGUUGGUUGUAAUUUAUGCAUUUCACAUGUAAAGACAAAUAAAACUGAAGCAACUGCACAUAAUAUUUAUAUCGGCAGUGCAUAGUUCAAG
rnacentral:lncRNA from 1 species